rnacentral:rRNA from 1 species
GAUGAACGCUAGCUACAGGCUUAACACAUGCAAGUCGAGGGGAAACGACAUCGAAAGCUUGCUUUUGAUGGGCGUCGACCGGCGCACGGGUGAGUAACGCGUAUCCAACCUGCCCACCACUUGGGGAUAACCUUGCGAAAGUAAGACUAAUACCCGAUGAUAUCUCUAUAAGACAUCUGAAAGGGAUUAAAGAUUUAUCGGUGAUGGAUGGGGAUGCGUCUGAUUAGCUUGUUGGCGGGGUAACGGCCCACCAAGGCGACGAUCAGUAGGGGUUCUGAGAGGAAGGUCCCCCACAUUGGAACUGAGACACGGUCCAAACUCCUACGGGAGGCAGCAGUGAGGAAUAUUGAUCAAUGGGCGAGAGCCUGAACCAGCCAAGUAGCGUGCAGGAUGACGGCCCUAUGGGUUGUAAACUGCUUUUAUAAGGGAAUAAAGUGAGUCUCGUGAGACUUUUUGCAUGUACCUUAUGAAUAAGGACCGGCUAAUUCCGUG